UUAUUUUGUAUUAUAAAUCUUAAAUUAUUGUUUCAUUUUUUCAUGGAGUUGUUCCUUUUUGCCUCUCGAGCUGCAUGGUCGUAUCCCAGCCAGUGGUGUACAUUCGUUGUUUAUUUUUUCGUGGUACCAAGUCUUAGACAUCAGGUUUUUUUCCUUUUUUUUGUCUUUAACUACAUUGUUUUUUUUUUUUUUUGUCAAUUCCAUUAUAUUUUUUUAUUGUAUCUAAAGGAUCUGGUGGUCAAGACACAUCAAAAGCACGAGGUCGAUUUUUUUAUUGUAUACUCUGCUGUGUUUUUGGUUGUUGGCGCGUUGUAUAAAGUAUUCGUUGAACUGGUGGCUCGUUGGUCGUACGUUCUCGGGGUUGUCGCACAUUUUAUUUUAUAUUGUAUUUUUUAUUGUACAAGUGUGGGCAUCCCGAGACGGUAGCGUUCUGGUUCAAAGCCGCCAACGGACACCAGUUCUCAGGUAAGAGGCUGACGAGCCUCAUCAUUAUUAUUAUUAUAAUUUCAUUUAUUUUUUUAUAUAGCCAGCGUAGGAAAAAUUAUUAUUUUAUACUUGUUGUAUUGAGCCGGCUUAGGCCAAUAUUAUAUUUUUGUAUGUCCGUCUAAGGGCAAUUUGUCAUAUUUUUAUACUAUUGUGGAGCCAGCUUAGGCCAAUUUUUUUGUAUAUUCAUUGUGGUAUUAAGCCAACAGGCUAAAAUUUAUACAUUAUACUUUUUUUUUAUUAUAUUGUUGAGCUAGCAUAAGACAACAGCCUGAGUUUGUCAUUAUUAUUAAUAUAUUUUUAGUUCCUAUUAAAACAAAGUUACCAGUA